UAUCUUUUUGUCUGCAUUACAUGCCGAAAAUUCAUCUCCCAAACACCUUGUUUCCUCUUUGAUCAGAACGUUCAUCUUGUAAUCUAGGUCACAUGCAGAAAAUUCAUCCUCCAAACACUUCUUUGAUGAACAAUCUGUCAUCCAAUCAUCUUGGCUAAGGGAAACGAUUUCUAAAGCCUUGGGUGUGAGAAAAUCAUUUUCUGACACCUAUGAGAAUUAAAGAUUAAAAACCAUCAAACAGAAUUAAUAUUACAAAAUAAACUGUAUCUUAAAAUACCUUCCCAAUGUCAGCAUAGAAGGCAAAUCAAUGAUUUGAGAGAGGGAAGUACAUUGCUCAUUAAAUAAACUGUAUCUUAAUAUACCUUGUUUAAUGUUUGAGUUUUGAUGUUUCUAAACUGGAUUGUGGAGUAUAUUUUCUGACUUACUCUUCAAGCAUGGAGCCAGCCACUGCAAAGCAAAGAGAGCACAACAAAGUAAGAAUAAUUCCCCAAGAAAGAGGCAUGAAUGUAAAAAGAAAGCAAACACAAGAAAGAAACGCGAAUACAAAAUAGAAAGUAAGUAGAUACCAAUCCAUAUGCACGUACAUAUUCAGUGGAAGCAGGGUUACAGAACGGAAGAAGGAGAUGAUGUAUAUAUAGACCAAACAAAUAGCAGCAGUCUUCAUAACACAAAA
rnacentral:lncRNA from 1 species